rnacentral:rRNA from 1 species
CCUACGGGAGGCAGCAGUGAGGAAUAUUGGUCAAUGGUCGGGAGACUGAACCAGCCAAGCCGCGUGAGGGAUGAAGGUACAGAGUAUCGUAAACCUCUUUUGUCAGGGAACAAAGGCGGGGACGUGUCCCCGGAUGAGUGUACCUGAAGAAAAAGCAUCGGCUAACUCCGUGCCAGCAGCCGCGGUAAUACGGAGGAUGCGAGCGUUAUCCGGAUUUAUUGGGUUAAAAGGGUGCGCAGGCGGUCUGUUAAGUCAGCGGUAAAAGCCCGGGGCUCAACCCCGGCCCGCCGUUGAAACUGGCAGUCUCGAGUUGGAGAGAAGUAUGCGGAAUGCGCGGUGUAGCGGUGAAAUGCAUAGAUAUCGCGCAGAACUCCGAUUGCGAAAGCAGCAUGCCGGCUCCACACUGACGCUGAGGCACGAAAGCGUGGGUAUCGAACAGGAUUAGAUACCCCAGUAGUC